rnacentral:rRNA from 1 species
GGUUAAGCGACUAAGCGUACACGGUGGAUGCCCUGGCAGUCAGAGGCGAUGAAGGACGUGCUAAUCUGCGAUAAGCGUCGGUAAGGUGAUAUGAACCGUUAUAACCGGCGAUUUCCGAAUGGGGAAACCCAGUGUGAUUCGUCACACUAUCAUUAACUGAAUCCAUAGGUUAAUGAGGCGAACCGGGGGAACUGAAACAUCUAAGUACCCCGAGGAAAAGAAAUCAACCGAGAUUCCCCCAGUAGCGGCGAGCGAACGGGGAGGAGCCCAGAGCCUGAAUCAGUGUGUGUGUUAGUGGAAGCGUCUGGAAAGGCGCGCGAUACAGGGUGACAGCCCCGUACACAAAAAUGCACAUACUGUGAGCUCGAUGAGUAGGGCGGGACACGUGGUAUCCUGUCUGAAUAUGGGGGGACCAUCCUCCAAGGCUAAAUACUCCUGACUGACCGAUAGUGAACCAGUACCGUGAGGGAAAGGCGAAAAGAACCCCGGCGAGGGGAGUGAAAAAGAACCUGAAACCGUGUACGUACAAGCAGUGGGAGCCUCUUUAUGGGGUGACUGCGUACCUUUUGUAUAAUGGGUCAGCGACUUAUAUUCUGUAGCAAGGUUAACCGAAUAGGGGAGCCGAAGGGAAACCGAGUCUUAACUGGGCGUUAAGUUGCAGGGUAUAGACCCGAAACCCGGUGAUCUAGCCAUGGGCAGGUUGAAGGUUGGGUAACACUAACUGGAGGACCGAACCGACUAAUGUUGAAAAAUUAGCGGAUGACUUGUGGCUGGGGGUGAAAGGCCAAUCAAACCGGGAGAUAGCUGGUUCUCCCCGAAAGCUAUUUAGGUAGCGCCUCGUGAAUUCAUCUCCGGGGGUAGAGCACUGUUUCGGCAAGGGGGUCAUCCCGACUUACCAACCCGAUGCAAACUGCGAAUACCGGAGAAUGUUAUCACGGGAGACACACGGCGGGUGCUAACGUCCGUCGUGAAGAGGGAAACAACCCAGACCGCCAGCUAAGGUCCCAAAGUCAUGGUUAAGUGGGAAACGAUGUGGGAAGGCCCAGACAGCCAGGAUGUUGGCUUAGAAGCAGCCAUCAUUUAAAGAAAGCGUAAUAGCUCACUGGUCGAGUCGGCCUGCGCGGAAGAUGUAACGGGGCUAAACCAUGCACCGAAGCUGCGGCAGCGACACUAUGUGUUGUUGGGUAGGGGAGCGUUCUGUAAGCCUGCGAAGGUGUACUGUGAGGUAUGCUGGAGGUAUCAGAAGUGCGAAUGCUGACAUAAGUAACGAUAAAGCGGGUGAAAAGCCCGCUCGCCGGAAGACCAAGGGUUCCUGUCCAACGUUAAUCGGGGCAGGGUGAGUCGACCCCUAAGGCGAGGCCGAAAGGCGUAGUCGAUGGGAAACAGGUUAAUAUUCCUGUACUUGGUGUUACUGCGAAGGGGGGACGGAGAAGGCUAUGUUGGCCGGGCGACGGUUGUCCCGGUUUAAGCGUGUAGGCUGGUUUUCCAGGCAAAUCCGGAAAAUCAAGGCUGAGGCGUGAUGACGAGGCACUACGGUGCUGAAGCAACAAAUGCCCUGCUUCCAGGAAAAGCCUCUAAGCAUCAGGUAACAUCAAAUCGUACCCCAAACCGACACAGGUGGUCAGGUAGAGAAUACCAAGGCGCUUGAGAGAACUCGGGUGAAGGAACUAGGCAAAAUGGUGCCGUAACUUCGGGAGAAGGCACGCUGAUACGUAGGUGAAGUCCCUUGCGGAUGGAGCUGAAAUCAGUCGAAGAUACCAGCUGGCUGCAACUGUUUAUUAAAAACACAGCACUGUGCAAACACGAAAGUGGACGUAUACGGUGUGACGCCUGCCCGGUGCCGGAAGGUUAAUUGAUGGGGUUAGCGGUAACGCGAAGCUCUUGAUCGAAGCCCCGGUAAACGGCGGCCGUAACUAUAACGGUCCUAAGGUAGCGAAAUUCCUUGUCGGGUAAGUUCCGACCUGCACGAAUGGCGUAAUGAUGGCCAGGCUGUCUCCACCCGAGACUCAGUGAAAUUGAACUCGCUGUGAAGAUGCAGUGUACCCGCGGCAAGACGGAAAGACCCCGUGAACCUUUACUAUAGCUUGACACUGAACAUUGAGCCUUGAUGUGUAGGAUAGGUGGGAGGCUUUGAAGUGUGGACGCCAGUCUGCAUGGAGCCGACCUUGAAAUACCACCCUUUAAUGUUUGAUGUUCUAACGUUGGCCCCUGAUCGGGGUUGCGGACAGUGUCUGGUGGGUAGUUUGACUGGGGCGGUCUCCUCCUAAAGAGUAACGGAGGAGCACGAAGGUUGGCUAAUCCUGGUCGGACAUCAGGAGGUUAGUGCAAUGGCAUAAGCCAGCUUGACUGCGAGCGUGACGGCGCGAGCAGGUGCGAAAGCAGGUCAUAGUGAUCCGGUGGUUCUGAAUGGAAGGGCCAUCGCUCAACGGAUAAAAGGUACUCCGGGGAUAACAGGCUGAUACCGCCCAAGAGUUCAUAUCGACGGCGGUGUUUGGCACCUCGAUGUCGGCUCAUCACAUCCUGGGGCUGAAGUAGGUCCCAAGGGUAUGGCUGUUCGCCAUUUAAAGUGGUACGCGAGCUGGGUUUAGAACGUCGUGAGACAGUUCGGUCCCUAUCUGCCGUGGGCGCUGGAGAACUGAGGGGGGCUGCUCCUAGUACGAGAGGACCGGAGUGGACGCAUCACUGGUGUUCGGGUUGUCAUGCCAAUGGCACUGCCCGGUAGCUAAAUGCGGAAGAGAUAAGUGCUGAAAGCAUCUAAGCACGAAACUUGCCCCGAGAUGAGUUCUCCCUGACCCCUUUAAGGGUCCUGAAGGAACGUUGAAGACGACGACGUUGAUAGGCCGGGUGUGUAAGCGCAGCGAUGCGUUGAGCUAACCGGUAGUCCUGAAGGAACGUUGAAGACGACGACGUUGAUAGGCCGGGUGUGUAAGCGCAGCGAUGCGUUGAGCUAACCGGUACUAAUGAACCGUGAGGCUUAACCUU